rnacentral:rRNA from 1 species
UCUUACGGGGGGCAGCAGUGAGGAAUAUUGGUCAAUGGGCGGGAGCCUGAACCAGCCAAGUCGCGUGAGGGAAGACGGUCCUAUGGAUUGUAAACCUCUUUCGGCGGGGAGCAAUGCCGGGCACGCGUGCCCGGAGGGAGAGUACCCGCAGAAUAAGCAUCGGCUAACUCCGUGCCAGCAGCCGCGGUAAUACGGAGGAUGCUAGCGUUAUCCGGAUUUUUUGGGUUUAAAGGGUUCGUAGGCGGAUUUUUAAGUCAGAGGUAACAUGUUCGG